AAUGAACGCUGGCGGUAGGCCUAACACAUGCAAGUCGAACGGCAGCACAGUAAUGGCUGGCUCUUACGGGUGUCGAGUGUCGGACGGUGGAGUAAUACAUCGAAUUCUACUUUUUCGUGGGGGAUAACGUAGUGAAACUUACGCUAAUACCGCAUACGACCUACGAGUGAAAGCAGGGGAUCUUCUGACUUUGCGCUAGUGAAUGAGCCGAUGUCGGAUUCGCUAGUUGGCGGGGUCGAGGCCCACCAAGGCGACGAUCCGUAGCUGGUCCGAACGGAUGAAUCGCUAGCCUGGAACUGAGAAACGGUAGAGACUCUUACGGGAGGACGCAGUGCGGACUCCUGCACGAUGGGGGAAAGCCUGAUCCAGCACAACCGCGUGGAUGAUGAAGGACUCAGGGUUCUAAAGCGAUUUAGUUCGGAAAGAAAAGAAGCAGGUUCAUCUCGCGAUGUUAUGACGGUACCAAAAGAAUAAGCCCCGGCUAACUCCGUG
rnacentral:rRNA from 1 species